GAUGAACGCUGGCGGCGUGCCUAAUACAUGCAAGUCGAGCGAACAGACGAGGAGCUUGCUCCUUUGACGUUAGCGGCGGACGGGUGAGUAACACGUAGGUAACCUACCUAUAAGACUGGGAUAACUUCGGGAAACCGGAGCUAAUACCGGAUAAUAUUUCGAACCGCAUGGUUCGAUAGUGAAAGAUGGCUUUGCUAUCACUUAUAGAUGGACCUGCGCCGUAUUAGCUAGUUGGUAAGGUAACGGCUUACCAAGGCAACGAUACGUAGCCGACCUGAGAGGGGGAUGGGACACACGGGAAGGGAGACACGGUCAAGAAGCCGACGGGAGGGAGAAGUAGGGAAUGGUCCGCAAUGGGCGAAAGCAUGACGGAGCAACGCCGCGUGAGUGAUGAAGGUCUUCGGAUCGUAAAAAUCUGUUAGUAGGGAAGAAAAAACGUGUAAGGAAAUGUGCACGUAGUGACGGUACCUAAUCAGAAAGCAACGGCUAACUACGUG
rnacentral:rRNA from 1 species